rnacentral:rRNA from 8 species
UGUAACAAGGUUUCCGUAGGUGAACCUGCGGAAGGAUCAUUG